GUGCUCGCUUCAGCAGCACGUAUACUAAAAUUGGAAUGAUACAGAGAAAAUUAGCAUGGCCCCUUGUGCAAAGAUGACAUUUUUUUUUUUUUUUUUUUUUGGUAUUUUU
ensembl:snRNA U6 U6 spliceosomal RNA